GCUGUGUACAUCAUGAGCUAGAUGUCCAUUAUCCCCGAGGGACGACCGAGACUUUUUUUGGUCGUCUUGUGUGUACUUUUUCGUUUUCCGUUUUUCUUUUGUUGUCGCUUCCUUCCUCCCGUUCCUUCGAAGAAAACACAAG
rnacentral:ribozyme from 1 species